rnacentral:rRNA from 1 species
GACGAACCGGGCGAACGUUAUUCGGAAUCACUGGGCUUAAAGGGCGCGUAGGCGGGCGGUCAAGUCAGGGGUGAAAGCCCCCAGCUCAACUGGGGAAGUGCCUCUGAUACUGGCCAUCUCGAGGGCGGUAGGGGCGUGCGGAACUUCCGGUGGAGCGGUGAAAUGCGUAGAUAUCGGAAGGAACACCGGUGGCGAACGCGGCGCGCGGGAGCUAUCCGGACGCUGAGGCGCGAAAGCCAGGGGAGCAAACAGG